CUCCACCUCCGUCGCCUCCUCCCUCGCACUUCUAUCCUCCACCACCUUAUGCUUCUCCACCUCCACCACAUUACUCGCCGCCGCCGCCACCUAACUCACCACCGCCACCACCCAACUCGCCGCCGCCUCCACUGUAUUUGCCGCCGCCGCCACCACCAAACUCCCCACCACCGCCGCCUCCAUGCAUGGAGCUGCCUCCGCCGCCACCAUCACCGCUAGCUUCUCCUUCACCAG
rnacentral:lncRNA from 1 species